AAGAAACCCUAAACGAAGAAACGCCCAAGUUUCGAUUUAGUCGAAUCGACCCACAAAUAGCUUCUGCCGUUUCAGUGCUCAGAGUUGAAAUAUGCCACCGGAAUCUGACAAGUGGGGUUGGAAGCAUGUCAGUGUGUUUGGGGGGUUUGACAAGGGGAGUGGUACCAAAAGGUGGAAAUGCAAUCACUGUAAUCUCCGAUAUAAUGGAUCCUAUUCACGUGUUAGAGCCCACUUACUUGGGUUCUCGGGUGUCGGGGUCAAAAGCUGUCCAGCAAUUGACGGGUCUCUAAGAGAGGCAUUUCAGGUUUUAGAGGAAGAGCGACUUGCUGGGAAGAAGAAGAGAAUUUCUGGAGGUGAGAAGCCCAGAAAGCGCAUUAGGACAUCACGACCAAUUCUUGCUCUUACCUGUGUCUCCAAGGAAGAUGUAGAUGAUAUAGUAGCUAGAUUCUUUUAUGCCAAUGGACUAAAUGUCAACAUCGUCAAUUCUCCUCACUUUCAUGAAAUGACCAAAGCAAUUGCAUUUUAUGGGCACAGGUAUGAGCCUCCGUCGAUAGAUGAGCUAUCCAAUUCCUUUUUAAGUAAAGAAAAAGGAAGGAUUGAGAAAUCUGUGGCUCUAGUUAGGGAGUCUUGGCCUCAUACAGGAUGCACUAUACUAUGUGUCGGUCGCUUAGAAAGCACGGUUGGCUGUUUGCACAUUAAUAUAUUUGUUUCUAGUCCAAGAGGUCUUGUUUUUCUGAAAGCAGUGGAUGUAGAUGACAUUGAUGGGGCAGACAAUCUCUUUGUGGGUGUUCUUGGUGAUGUGAUUAUGGAAGUUGGGUCCACAAAUGUGCUUCAAAUAAUCUCACGACUAGAGCAUGCUAAUCAAUUGUCAGAUUCUUUUAUAUUGACAAAGUUUCCUCAUAUAUUUUUGUCUCCCUGCACUUCGUACUCUAUCCUCACGUUGAUGGAAGAAAUAGCUGAAUUGGAUUGGGUAAAAUCUGUUGUUCUAUGCGCCAAAGAAAUCGAACAAUGCCUGAUCACAUAUCAACACUCUUCUCCAUGCAUAUUUUCUCAAAAUCCAAAAAGGAGCUGUGACGCGCUUGCUUCCAGAUUUGCACCUUUCUUUUCUGUUGUCCAAAAGAUUCUUGAGCUAAAGCAACAACUUCUAGAGUUAAUUGUUAGUGAGGAGUGGAAACAGUGGAAACUAAAUAAUGCCCAAGAGGAUAUUAUAAAUAUCGAAGCUUCCAUUUUAGAGGAUAGUUUCUGGAGAAACGCUAAUUUGUUGGUGCAGUUACUUGAGCCAUUUGUCAGAUUGCUAGAGACACUUAAUGUUGACAGAUUUGUCAUGGGUGAUAUUUGUAAUUGGCGGGUUCAGGCUCUGGAAGCUGUGAGGGAUAAGGGAGUCGAUAGCGUCAGAUUGAAUCAAUUGGAAGAACUCAUAGAGAACAGAUGGGAUGCUUUAUUUUCUCCACUUCAUGCUGCUGGUUACAUGUUGAAUCCAAGAUAUUUUGGGAAAGGUCAAGCUAAGGAUAAAAUUGUAAUGCGGGGCUGGAAGGCUACCCUGGAGAGAUACGAGAGUGAAAGUGCGACCAGGCGAGUUCUUAGAGAGCAACUCAGCUCUUACUGGCGAUUAGAGGGAUCCUUAGGAGAUGAGGAUGCAGUGGAUUGUAGAGAUAAAAUGGACCCAGUUGCAUGGUGGGAGAACUUUGGUUUCGAAACACCCCACUUGCAGACACUAGCAAUAAAAGUUUUGAGUCAGGUUUCAAGCGUUACGAUGUGUCAAGAGAUCUGUCAAGAUAAUUGUUUUCCAUACCGAGAAACAGCCAACAGAUUAGGAGUAGAGAGAGUAGAAGAUCUUGUUUUUGUCCAAAAGAAUCUCAGAAUUCAUAUUCAAAGAAGUGGGUUUUCAUACUUCACAUCUGGAUCUAGAAAUGUGAAUUCAUGCUCUCAGUCUGGAGUCAAGGCCUUGGAUUGUGCUCAUGUUGAUCAAGCUAAGGCCAUGUGAAGCAUUCAUAGAAAAUUAUGACGAAAUUGAUGGUUGGGAGUCAGAAUGCAAUAUUACUACACAAGCUUGUUGAAAAUAACUGAGAGUGAAAUUUGAAAAUUACCAAUAUCAUAGGCAAUCAUUGUGCAACUUCAGAGCCUAAUGUUGACCUGGUUUCAUCAAUUGCAUUUCCUAUGGUUUCCCUCGCUAAGUGGCGUUGCUGCAAUUGCAGCCUGAUGCGAUAGGAGGAGCACAAGGGCAAGCGGCGCAACCUUCAAGAGAUCCAUUGAGUCUACCAAGUGGUCCGGUGAUAAGGCUUAAAGUCAAACGCUUCAAGAAAGCAUUGAACGGGCUGGUCAACAAGUUGGAGAUACGGCAAAUACAUGGAGGCCCAACACAAGUCCAAAUCCGGAUGAAGAAGAACCUAGUCACCUCAAAUUGGCCGAAUUGGGCCUAGGGGAAUAUUUGUGGCCGAAUUGGCCUUGGGAUUGUAUAGGGUCCGAAUUAGACUUGAACUAGA